rnacentral:lncRNA from 1 species
UUAGAAAGCUUGCAAUAGGAAGGAUCAGAACACUUGCCUUUCAAAGAUUUUGAUCUGAAGAUCCAAAGAAGGUGUCAGCCCAAAUCCUUCUACUUUUCCUCUGUGUCCUCUCCCUGUUUCGUUUUCUACAUGUCUUCUCUUUUUUCUCUAUAAUUGUAGCUCAUGCAAAACAUAGAGGCAUAGUCACCUGCUCUCUCUUACUCUCAUUCCUUCGUUUUCUUUCCCAAACGCAGUUGCCACAGCCACUGCCGCUGCCGCUGCCACAGUCGUAGCCCCUUCCACCGCACUGCCUUCUUCCUCCCCUUCUUUCGCAGACACAGCUGCUGCAUUCGCAGUCACUGCCAUCGUGACCGCAACCAUAGCCACAGCCCCCUUUUUUUUCCCCUUUCCUUUCUUUCUAUUUCCCAAAAGCAGCUGCUGCAGCCACCACCGCUGCCGCAGCUACCGCAGCCAAUGUCGCAGCCACAACCGCAGUCGUAGCCACGGCCGCGGCCACCACAGCCGCAGCCUCUUCUUCCUCCCCUGCUCUGUUUCCUCUCCUUCUCUUCCAGCUACAGCUGCUACUACCGUAGCUGCCUCCCCUUCUCCUCUUCCUCUCUUCUUCCCUUUCCCUUUCUCUUCUUCUUCCUUUCCUUCUCUUCUUUCCCAGCUGCACUGUUNNN